AAGUGUCAUCUGGUUCUCCUGUAUUCACUAUUUUAUUGAUGAACUUAAAGAGCUGUUAUAGACUUAUCAGGCACAACUGUGCUUGUUAGAGCCUUUUCAGCCUAGUAAGGAAGAGGAUGGGGACACACAGCUGAACUGGAGGAGGAACAGAUGGAGAUCGUGGAGUUAAAAUGUCAGAGCACAGAAGUAAAACUGUCAUACUGCUGCUGGAGAUCACUCUCCAUGAUGCCUUUGGAGCCUUUUCUGUAAAUGUGAGUCCAUUGGCAGUCCUGUCAUAGCAGCUCUGUGGUUAUCAGCUACAAGCCUUGGCCAGCAGUGCUGCAGUUCCACAUUUGAAUUUCCUCAGAGCUCUCAGAUACCUGUGAUAAAUUCUCUGUGUCUUUGGCAUGUGGAGUAAGGGCUGAAGUUUACUUCAUCAAGGAUCCUAUCACCUGUAGUGGCCCAUAUUUGAUCAGCACUGGCUUCAUGAGUCAGUGCUGCCACAGGAAUACGCUUCAUCUUUCUAAUUG